AGUUUCGUGCAGAGCGCGGAGGAGCCGCGAGCGCUGAGGGAGUCUGCACUAUGGAAACAACCUGUCAAUCCAGCUCAAGGCACACAUAGCCCAGACACCCAUGAGACCCUCUCCGUGGGGACCCUAGAGCACCUAUCAUGAACGAGGAGACCAAGGCUGGCUCCUCAUGGACCCCGUUGGCCUCCAGCUCGGCAACAAGAACCUGUGGAGCUGUCUUGUGAGGCUGCUCACCAAAGACCCAGAAUGGCUGAACGCCAAGAUGAAGUUCUUCCUCCCCAACACGGACCUGGAUUCCAGGAACGAGACCUUGGACCCUGAACAGAGAGUCAUCCUGCAACUCAACAAGCUGCAUGUCCAGGGUUCGGACACCUGGCAGUCUUUCAUUCAUUGUGUGUGCAUGCAGCUGGAGGUGCCUCUGGACCUGGAGGUGCUGCUGCUGAGUACUUUUGGCUAUGAUGAUGGGUUCACCAGCCAGCUGGGAGCUGAGGGGAAAAGCCAACCUGAAUCUCAGCUCCACCAUGGCCUGAAGCGCCCACAUCAGAGCUGUGGGUCCUCACCCCGCCGGAAGCAGUGCAAGAAGCAGCAGCUAGAGUUGGCCAAGAAGUACCUGCAGCUCCUGCGGACCUCUGCCCAGCAGCGCUACAGGAGCCAAAUCCCUGGGUCAGGGCAGCCCCACGCCUUCCACCAGGUCUAUGUCCCUCCAAUCCUGCGCCGGGCCACAGCAUCCUUAGACACUCCGGAGGGGGCCAUUAUGGGGGACGUCAAGGUGGAAGAUGGUGCUGACGUGAGCAUCUCGGACCUCUUCAACACCAGGGUUAACAAGGGCCCGAGGGUGACCGUGCUUUUGGGGAAGGCUGGCAUGGGCAAGACCACGCUGGCCCACCGGCUCUGCCAGAAGUGGGCAGAGGGCCAUCUGAACUGUUUCCAGGCCCUGUUCCUUUUUGAAUUCCGCCAGCUCAACUUGAUCACGAGGUUCCUGACACCGUCCGAGCUCCUUUUUGAUCUGUACCUGAGCCCUGAAUCGGACCACGACACUGUCUUCCAGUACCUGGAGAAGAACGCUGACCAAGUCCUGCUGAUCUUUGAUGGGCUAGAUGAGGCCCUCCAGCCUAUGGGUCCUGAUGGCCCAGGCCCAGUCCUCACCCUUUUCUCCCAUCUCUGCAAUGGGACCCUCCUGCCUGGCUGCCGGGUGAUGGCUACCUCCCGUCCAGGGAAGCUGCCUGCCUGCCUGCCUGCAGAGGCAGCCAUGGUCCACAUGUUGGGCUUUGAUGGGCCACGGGUGGAAGAAUAUGUGAAUCACUUCUUCAGCGCCCAGCCAUCGCGGGAGGGGGCCCUGGUGGAGUUACAGACAAAUGGACGUCUCCGAAGCCUGUGUGCGGUGCCCGCACUGUGCCAAGUCGCCUGUCUCUGCCUCCACCAUCUGCUUCCUGACCACGCCCCAGGCCAGUCUGUGGCCCUCCUGCCCAACAUGACUCAGCUCUAUAUGCAGAUGGUGCUCGCCCUCAGCCCCCCUGGGCACUUGCCCACCUCGUCCCUACUGGACCUGGGGGAGGUGGCCCUGAGGGGCCUGGAGACAGGGAAGGUUAUCUUCUAUGCAAAAGAUAUUGCUCCACCCUUGAUAGCUUUUGGGGCCACUCACAGCCUGCUGACUUCCUUCUGCGUCUGCACAGGCCCUGGGCACCAGCAGACAGGCUAUGCUUUCACCCACCUCAGCCUGCAGGAGUUUCUUGCUGCCCUGCACCUGAUGGCCAGCCCCAAGGUGAACAAAGACACACUUACCCAGUAUGUUACCCUCCAUUCCCGCUGGGUACAGCGGACCAAAGCUAGACUGGGCCUCUCAGACCACCUCCCCACCUUCCUGGCGGGCCUGGCAUCCUGCACCUGCCGCCCCUUCCUUAGCCACCUGGCGCAGGGCAAUGAGGACUGUGUGGGUGCCAAGCAGGCUGCUGUAGUGCAGGUGUUGAAGAAGUUGGCCACCCGCAAGCUCACAGGGCCAAAGGUUGUAGAGCUGUGUCACUGUGUGGAUGAGACACAGGAGCCUGAGCUGGCCAGUCUCACCGCACAAAGCCUCCCCUAUCAACUGCCCUUCCACAAUUUCCCACUGACCUGCACCGACCUGGCCACCCUGACCAACAUCCUAGAGCACAGGGAGGCCCCCAUCCACCUGGAUUUUGAUGGCUGUCCCCUGGAGCCCCACUGCCCUGAGGCUCUGGUAGGCUGUGGGCAGAUAGAGAAUCUCAGCUUUAAGAGCAGGAAGUGUGGGGAUGCCUUUGCAGAAGCCCUCUCCAGGAGCUUGCCGACAAUGGGGAGGCUGCAGAUGCUGGGGUUAGCAGGAAGUAAAAUCACUGCCCGAGGCAUCAGCCACCUGGUGAAAGCUUUGCCUCUCUGUCCACAGCUGAAAGAAGUCAGUUUUCGGGACAACCAGCUCAGUGACCAGGUGGUGCUGAACAUUGUGGAGGUUCUCCCUCACCUACCACGGCUCCGGAAGCUUGACCUGAGCAGCAACAGCAUCUGCGUGUCAACCCUACUCUGCUUGGCAAGGGUGGCAGUCACGUGUCCUACCGUCAGGAUGCUUCAGGCCAGGGAGGCGGACCUCAUCUUCCUUCUUUCCCCGCCCACAGAGACAACUGCAGAGCUACAAAGAGCUCCAGACCUGCAGGAAAGUGACGGCCAGAGGAAAGGGGCUCAGAGCAGAAGCUUGACGCUCAGGCUGCAGAAGUGUCAGCUCCAGGUCCACGAUGCGGAGGCCCUCAUAGCCCUGCUCCAGGAAGGCCCUCACCUGGAGGAAGUGGACCUCUCAGGGAACCAGCUGGAAGAUGAAGGCUGUCGGCUGAUGGCAGAGGCUGCAUCCCAGCUGCACAUCGCCAGGAAGCUGGACCUCAGUAACAACGGGCUUUCUGUGGCCGGGGUGCAUUGUGUGCUGAGGGCCGUGAGUGCGUGCUGGACCCUGGCAGAGCUGCACAUCAGCCUGCAGCACAAAACUGUGAUCUUCAUGUUUGCCCAGGAGCCAGAGGAGCAGAAGGGGCCCCAGGAGAGGGCUGCAUUUCUUGACAGCCUCAUGCUCCAGAUGCCCUCUGAGCUGCCUCUGAGCUCCCGAAGGAUGAGGCUGACACAUUGUGGCCUCCAAGAAAAGCACCUAGAGCAGCUCUGCAAGGCUCUGGGAGGAAGCUGCCACCUCGGUCACCUCCACCUCGACUUCUCAGGCAAUGCUCUGGGGGAUGAAGGUGCAGCCCGGCUGGCUCAGCUGCUCCCAGGGCUGGGAGCUCUGCAGUCCUUGAACCUCAGUGAGAACGGUUUGUCCCUGGAUGCCGUGUUGGGUUUGGUUCGGUGCUUCUCCACUCUGCAGUGGCUCUUCCGCUUGGACAUCAGGACCCCCAAGAAUGGGAGGUGCCACAGCAGAUGGACCAGGCUCAGUUACUUAACUGCUGCGAGCUCAGAGCAGGUCCCAGAGCCUCUCCAGGCCUCAGUUUCCUCAUCUGUAAAAUGGAGAUAAGAAUAAUUACUGGCCUGGCACAGUGGCUCAAGCCUGUAAUCCCAGCACUUUGGGAGGCCAAGACAGGAGGAGGAGGAUCACCUGAGCCUAGGAGUUUGAGACCAGCCUGGACAACAUGGGAAGUUGGUCUUUGACCAUUUUCAAACUGCUGCUUCCUCUCUGCUUCCAGCUUUGAAAGCCAACACAUCCUCCUGAGAGGGGACAAGACAAGCAGGGAUAUGUGGGCCACUGGAUCUUUGCCAGACUUCCCAGCUGCAGCCAAGUUCUUAGGGUUCCGUCAGCGCUGCAUCCCCAGGAGCCUCUGCCUCAGUGAGUGUCCUCUGGAGCCCCCAAGCCUCACCCGCCUCUGUGCCACUCUGAAGGACUGCCCGGGACCCCUGGAACUGCAAUUGUCCUGUGAGUUCCUGAGUGACCAGAGCCUGGAGACUCUACUGGACUGCUUACCUCAACUCCCUCAGCUGAGCCUGCUGCAGCUGAGCCAGACGGGACUGUCCCCGAAAAGCCCCUUCCUGCUGGCCAACACCUUAAGCCUGUGUCCACGGGUUAAAAAGGUGGAUCUCAGGUCCCUGCACCAUGCAACUUUGCACUUCAGAUCCAACGAGGAGGAGGAAGGCGUGUGCUGUGGGUUCACAGGCUGCAGCCUCAGCCAGGAGCACGUAGAGUCACUCUGCUGGUUGCUGAGCAAGUGUAAAGACCUCAGCCAGGUGGAUCUCUCAGCAAACCUGCUGGGCGACAGCGGACUCAGAUGCCUUCUGGAAUGUCUGCCGCAGGUGCCCAUCUCCGGUUUGCUUGAUCUGAGUCACAACAGCAUUUCUCAGGAAAGUGCCCUGUACCUGCUGGAGACACUGCCCUCCUGCCCACGUGUCCGGGAGGCCUCAGUGAACCUGGGCUCUGAGCAGAGCUUCCGGAUUCACUUCUCCAGAGAGGACCAGGCUGGGAAGACACUCAGGCUAAGUGAGUGCAGCUUCCGGCCAGAGCACGUGUCCAGGCUGGCCACCGGCUUGAGCAAGUCCCUGCAGCUGACGGAGCUCACGCUGACCCAGUGCUGCCUGGGCCAGAAGCAGCUGGCCAUCCUCCUGAGCUUGGUGGGGCGACCCGCAGGGCUGUUCAGCCUCAGGGUGCAGGAGCCGUGGGCGGACAGAGCCAGGGUUCUCUCCCUGUUAGAAGUCUGCGCCCAGGCCUCAGGCAGUGUCACUGAAAUCAGCAUCUCCGAGACCCAGCAGCAGCUCUGUGUCCAGCUGGAAUUUCCUCGCCAGGAAGAGAAUCCAGAAGCUGUGGCACUCAGGUUGGCUCACUGUGACCUUGGAGCCCACCACAGCCUUCUUGUCGGGCAGCUGAUGGAGACAUGUGCCAGGCUGCAGCAGCUCAGCUUGUCUCAGGUUAACCUCUGUGAGGACGAUGAUGCCAGUUCCCUGCUGCUGCAGAGCCUCCUGCUGUCCCUCUCUGAGCUGAAGACAUUUCGGCUGACCUCCAGCUGUGUGAGCACCGAGGGCCUCGCCCACCUGGCAUCUGGUCUGGGCCACUGCCACCACUUGGAGGAGCUGGACUUGUCUAACAAUCAAUUUGAUGAGGAGGGCACCAAGGCGCUGAUGAGGGCCCUUGAGGGGAAAUGGAUGCUAAAGAGGCUGGACCUCAGUCACCUUCUGCUGAACAGCUCCACCUUGGCCUUGCUUACUCACAGACUAAGCCAGAUGACCUGCCUGCAGAGCCUCAGACUGAACAGGAACAGUAUCGGUGAUGUCGGUUGCUGCCACCUUUCUGAGGCUCUCAGGGCUGCCACCAGCCUAGAGGAGCUGGACUUGAGCCACAACCAGAUUGGAGACGCUGGUGUCCAGCACUUAGCUACCAUCCUGCCUGGGCUGCCAGAGCUCAGGAAGAUAGACCUCUCAGGGAAUAGCAUCAGCUCAGCCGGGGGAGUGCAGUUGGCAGAGUCUCUCGUUCUUUGCAGGCGCCUGGAGGAGUUGAUGCUUGGCUGCAAUGCCCUGGGGGAUCCCACAGCCCUGGGGCUGGCUCAGGAGCUGCCCCAGCACCUGAGGGUCCUACACCUACCAUUCAGCCAUCUGGGCCCAGGUGGGGCCCUGAGCCUGGCCCAGGCCCUGGAUGGAUCCCCCCAUUUGGAAGAGAUCAGCUUGGCGGAAAACAACCUGGCUGGAGGGGUCCUGCGUUUCUGUAUGGAGCUCCCGCUGCUCAGACAGAUAGACCUGGUUUCCUGUAAGAUUGACAACCAGACUGCCAAGCUCCUCACCUCCAGCUUCACGAGCUGCCCUGCCCUGGAAGUAAUCUUGCUGUCCUGGAAUCUCCUCGGGGAUGAGGCAGCUGCCGAGCUGGCCCAGGUGCUGCCGCAGAUGGGCCGGCUGAAGAGAGUGGACCUGGAGAAGAAUCAGAUCACAGCUUUGGGGGCCUGGCUCCUGGCUGAAGGACUGGCCCAGGGGUCUAGCAUCCAAGUCAUCCGCCUCUGGAAUAACCCCAUUCCCUGCGACAUGGCCCAGCACCUGAAGAGCCAGGAGCCCAGGCUGGACUUUGCCUUCUUUGACAACCAGCCCCAGGCCCCUUGGGGUACUUGAUGGCCCCCUCAAGACCUUUGGAAUCCAGCCAAGUGAUGCACCCAAAUGAUCCACCUUUCGCCCACUGGGAUAAUUGACUCAGGAAAGAAGAGCCUCGGCAGGGCGCUCUGCACUCCACCCAGGAGGAAGGAUACGUGUGUCCUGCUGCAGUCCUCAGGGAGAACUUUUUUGGGAACCAGGAGCUGGGUCUGGACAAAGGAGUACCCUGCAUUACGUGGGAUAUGUGUGAUCAAUUGGGGACAUGCGACACACAAUGAGGGUGUCAUGACAAUGCAUGACACGUACGGUUAUAUGUGGCAGUGUGACCCCUUGACAUGUGGCGUUACAUGAAAGUCAGUGUGGCACGUGUUCUGUGGCAUGGGUGCUGGCAUCCCAAGUAGCAGGAUACAUGAUUGUUGGUCUAUAUAUGACACAUGACAAAUGUCCAUGUCACAGGACUCAUGGCUGGCCAGAUGACCUCAGGCUGGCCCAAGAUCUAAUUUAUUAAUUUUUAAAGCAAAUACAUAUUUAUAGAUUGUGUGUAUGGAGCAGCUAAGUCAGGAAAAGUCUUCCGCCCGAGCUGGGAGGGGAGAGUGUCCAUGCACUGACCAGUCCAGGGGCUCAAGGGCCAGGGCUCUGGAACAAGCCAGGGACUCAGCCAUUAAGUCCCCUCCUGCCUCAAUCCUCAGCCUACCCAUCUAUAAACUUGAUGACUCCUCCCUUACUUACAUACUAGCUUCCAAGGACAGGUGGAGGUAGGGCCAGCCUGGCGGGAGUGGAGAAGCCCAGUCUGUCCUAUGUAAGGGACAAAGCCAGGUCUAAUGGUACUGGGUAGGGGGCACUGCCAAGACAAUAAGCUAGGCUACUGGGUCCAGCUACUACUUUGGUGGGAUUCAGGUGAGUCUCCAUGCACUUCACAUGUUACCCAGUGUUCUUGUUACUUCCAAGGAGAACCAAGAAUGGCUCUGUCACACUCGAAGCCAGGCUUGAUCAAUAAACACAAUGGUAUUCCA